rnacentral:rRNA from 1 species
AGUGAACGCUGGCGGUAGGCCUAACACAUGCAAGUCGAACGGCAGCACAGUAAUAGCUUGCUCUUACGGGUGGCGAGUGGCGGACGGGUGAGGAAUACAUCGGAAUCUACUUUUUCGUGGGGGAUAACGUAGGGAAACUUACGCUCAUACCGCAUACGCCCUACGGGUGAAAGCAGGGGAUCUUCGGACCUUGCGCGAUUGAAUGAGCCGAUGUCGGAUUAGCUAGUUGGCGGGGUAAAGGCCCACCAAGGCGACGAUCCGUAGCUGGUCUGAGAGGAUGAUCAGCCACACUGGAACUGAGACACGGUCCAGACUCCUACGGGAGGCAGCAGUGUGGAAUAUUGGACAAUGGGCGCAAGCCUGAUCCAGCCAUACCGCGUGGGUGAAGAAGGCCUUCGGGUUGGAAAGCCCGUUUGUUGGGAAAGAAAAGCAGCAGGUUAAUACCCCGCUGUUCUGACGGUACCCAAAGAAUAAGCACCGGCUAACUUCGUG